rnacentral:rRNA from 1 species
UGUCACAGCCAUGUCACCCUAAGACCGGUUACUCACUGAAGCUAAGCUGGGCUGAGCCUGGUCAGAACCUGGAUGGGAGACCACUAGGGAACACUAGGUUGCUGUUGGAA